GAUCUGGCUCAGGAUGAACGCUAGCUACAGGCUUAACACAUGCAAGUCGAGGGGCAGCAGGACGAUAGCUUGCUAUUGUUGCUGGCGACCGGCGCACGGGUGAGUAACGCGUAUCCAACCUUCCCCUUAGUAGAGGAUAGCCCGGCGAAAGUCGGAUUAAUACUCUAUGUUGUAUUAUGAGGACAUCUGAGUAAUACCAAAGAUUCAUCGCUAAGGGAUGGGGAUGCGUCUGAUUAGCUUGUUGGCGGGGUAACGGCCCACCAAGGCGACGAUCAGUAGGGGUUCUGAGAGGAAGGUCCCCCCACAUUGGUACUGAGACACGGACCAAACUCCUACGGGAGGCAGCAGUGAGGAAUAUUGGUCAAUGGGCGGAAGCCUGAACCAGCCAAGUAGCGUGCCAGGACGACUGCCCUAUGGGUUGUAAACUGCUUUUAUAGGGGAAUAAAGUGAGUCACGUGUGGCUUUUUGUAUGUACCCUAUGAAUAAGGACCGGCUAAUUCCGUGCCAGCCGCUGC
rnacentral:rRNA from 1 species